AUUGAACGCUGGCGGCAGGCCUAACACAUGCAAGUCGAACGGUAACAGGAAGAAGCUUGCUUCUUUGCUGACGAGUGGCGGACGGGUGAGUAAUGUCUGGGAAACUGCCUGAUGGAGGGGGAUAACUACUGGAAACGGUAGCUAAUACCGCAUAACGUCGCAAGACCAAAAAGGGGGACCUUCGGGCCUCUUGCCAUCGGAUGUGCCCAGAUGGGAUUAGCUAGUAGGUGGGGUAACGGCUCACCUAGGCGACGAUCCCUAGCUGGUCUGAGAGGAUGACCAGCCACACUGGAACUGAGACACGGUCCAGACUCCUACGGUAGGCAGCAGUGGGGAAUAUUGCACAAUGGGCGCAAGCCUGAUUCAGCCAUGCCGCGUGUAUGAAGAAGGCCUUCGGGUUGUAAAGUACUUUCAGCGGGGAGGAAGGGAGUAAAGUUAAUACCUUUGCUCAUUGACGUUACCCGCAGAAGAAGCACCGGCUAACUCCGUG
rnacentral:rRNA from 1 species